CCUUUCAUCACAAAGCUGGCCCAGGACUCAGAGAAGCUGAAGAAUGCUGGGAAAGGAGGAGCAGCUACAAGUCCGGCUGCUUCCCCACCGACAAGAUGAGCCAGGAAAUCAGCAACAACAUGAGGAGAGAUGUGAGCACAAGAUAAAAGAAGCUGGAAAUAGAGAAAAGCAGAAAAGGCUUGGAGUGAAGACCCUUGACUGAGAAGACGACCUCCUCCGGUGCUUUCUCUUCAUCACACAAGGUCCCCC